rnacentral:rRNA from 1 species
UACAGAGGUCCCAAGCGUUGUUCGGAUUCACUGGGCGUAAAGGGUGCGUAGGUGGUGAGGAAAGUCGGAUGUGAAAUCUCCGGGCUUAACCCGGAAACUGCAUUGGAAACUACCUUGCUAGAGGUUUUGAGGGGGGACUGGAAUUCUCGGUGUAGCAGUGAAAUGCGUAGAUAUCGAGAGGAACACCAGUGGCGAAGGCGAGUCCCUGGAAAACACCUGACACUGAGGCACGAAAGCUAGGGGAGCAAACGGG